UUAAUAUCGUAAUAACAAUUCAUUUAACGAUUGUGACGCGUUUAGAAACUUACCGUGAAUUACAAGCAGAGUGAAAUAUAUUUGAAAUUUCCAGGACUACCAUAACGAAAUAUUCAAGAUGGUAGAACAUUUUUAAACAAUUCGAGCUUUUGUUUUCAUCGUGAAGCCUCGAUACUUCUCGGAAAGAGGAACAACGUUUGGAAAAUAUGCGCAGCGAGACGAUGUUAUUAAAAAGUCGUAAACACAAAAUCGUCUUGAGAAUAGAACGGGGGUUUCGUGCGCCCUUCAAUUAGUCUAGCUUUGACCGUGAUCGCGAUCGCGAUAGCAUGCGUAAAGUCGGUACGAUUCUAUACACGUAUAAUUUUAUAAAGUGAAAUAGUGAGUAUUAUUUAAUCAAAGGCGAUCUCCUGCGAUGUCCGGUACUUCCGGUGGAAUAUGAGAAGUCAAGGCCGUGACAGGGAUCGUUCGAGUUACCUCUUGGUGGGACGUUUCGUGAGAUACCUCAAGCAUCUAACAGAAUAUCACUGCACGAAUUUCUCAAUUACAAUUGACCGAAGUUCAGAAAGCGGGGAUAACACACCUAGCUACACUGUUUCACCAUCGAAGGACGUUUCAGGCGAAUCUUUUAUAAUUGUCCGAACGUGUUUCGAAACAACAAGGAGUUAAAGGACGAUAGAACAGACGUACGCAUACUCCUGGGUCACUUCUUCUAUCAUCAUCGUCAUCGUAUCGUAAAUUGAUUUUAAGAGACUGAUCGAUGUGCAGUGAACUAUCGGCAUCUGCAAGAACGAGAUUAAUUUAUGGGACGACGCCUGUAAGCGGAGGAUGCAAGAAGAAUGGUUAUUAAACUGCCAGAGUUUUGAGGUGCAUCAGUUCAUAAAUAUUAGGACUCUUACGGAAGCUUAAGGAAAGUUAAGGAAAGCUAUUAAGAAAUUAUCUAAUCUCCUGAGAAUUGGAGAUUAGAGAAGAAGAACGAGCAGGGCCCACAUGCUGCGGCACAGCUAUUUGUCUGUCGGCCGUCAAACGCAGCCUGCAACGUAUUGUUUAUAAUUCGGCAAAUGGCGGUUCCGUUCGGGGAGGCAACACGAGAUACGCCGGUUGUUCCUGCUGCGAGCGAGAGACGAGACGCUUGCUCAAGACUGUAAUCUAAAACCGAGAAGCGCCGGGAGAGACAGGAGACUGCAACCCGAGGACCUUCUUCGAGGAUAACCCGCUCCACCGCUCGUGUUCCAAGCGUAUAAACACAUAGAAACCAUCAGCUCUCGCUCUCCUCUGCCAUAUUCUGACCGAAAACAAACAACUCUGGGUUUCACGCGUCUACAUCAAUCGAGGUGGAGGAAGUUUCAGGAAAAUUGCGUUUCGACGCAGUCGCGGCGUAUCGUAAAAGCGGAUACGUACUUGCAAGGCCUGCAAUUCGUCUGGCAUAAAGCACACCGAUGCAUCUAUGAAAUUGCAACGCAAGAAUAGCAGUACGUGUGUUGGAUGCUUCGGCCGUCCUGAUCAUUGAAUUAGGAUUUCAAGUUGGUUGCGAAUGUCAGCAAUAUGAUAACGAUGGUAAUCCCUUAGAGUUACAGUAGUAAUGGAAUUUUAAGAAGUUACACACGCCACUGACCUCACGAAAGAAAUAAAAUAGUCAAACUCGAAGAUGUUAUUCCUCUAGGGGUACCUAACCACGUGUUAUUUAGCAAUUAAGCUGGAAAAAUUUAUUAAAUGUGCAGCUGGACAAACUGUAAAGUACAAAUUAAAUAAUAAUAAAAAAACAUGCAACAUAUUCAUAAAAAUUUCACAGGGUAAGCGUUUAAAUACUUUGCCUCCUUUUUUCUUUUAUUACAGCUCGCAUUCUUUCCAAUUUGCUUCAUAUGCACUACCGUGUCAUAUAGUCUGUGUUCUCAUCAUUUUACUAAACAUUCCGGGUUUUUGUAUCCGAAUCGAAUAGUAUAGUCGACGAUUAGUUAGCAGGCGAAGUAACUUGGAUUCUCUUUGAUACGAUGUAUUAGUAAUAAAUUGAAUAAAUAAUUGCUACAGACACAUAAUCGCCAAGGUACUUAGUAAUAACGCGAGCAACCAAGAACAAUUUGCUAUUCGUCUGACGUAAUCGAUGCGUAUACUCGUUCUUCUUCUUACAUUAGACAAGUAACGUUUCCGCGUGUAGUUCUAAUUCGGUGGCCAGAGAGUGUAGCAUAGGUGUCUCCGAUAAAUAACUGUCGCCCUCGAUGAAAAGCCGCUCGAGCGAAUUUACAUGGAGCUAAUUUAUAUGUACACAAGACUAUUGUUUCAGACCCCGUCACUCUGAUAAACGUCCGGCUACUGUUGCGAGUAUCUCGACACACUAGAGUUUAUCGGGUUUACGAUACGGAUCGUAAUGCAUCCUUUAUUUUCAGUCUAAUACUCGAAUAACACUCGUGCAGAAUUAACGCGUGACAUCGCAAUUAUUUGCGCGGUUGAUAGAGACAAAUCAAGCGAGGCAAGCGUUGCGGCGAUGAGGAAGCGUUGCGGCGACGAGCAAACGUCAUAAAGAUCAAAAGUUAUUUCAACGGAAGAUAAAAAUCGACAAUGACGAGGAAACUUGCGAGUAUGGUUGCUUCCAUGACAUAGUGACCUCCUAAAAAGCAUCCAGUUAGUCGCGCACAGUUCGUAUGUAUCGCGUUUCACAUUGUCAACUUUGUAGUUCAACUCCAUCUCGUCUAAAGUUACGUUUUCACAGAUUUCGUAUACUUUUUAUGAUACUGUCUCCUGUUUCCAUUGCUGGUAGCUCUUCCGGCGUUAUAAUAAAAUUUUGCUUUUUGUUUAUCAUUAGAGUGCUCUCUUUGGCUUGUUUCCUAUUUUUGUUAAGCUCGCAUUAAUUUACUUAGAUGCUGAGAUCGCUUGUCCGAGAUUCCUGACGCUCUACGCUUCUUUAUUACUGGGUCGCGAAUAAUUAAUCUAUUAACUGGGAAAGAUAAGUAUACUUGACGCUGGAAAUUCUUGAAUAUAACAAUUCUUUUAUUUAGAACUUAACGAUCGUUUUACGUUUCAUUUUAUUUCUGUUAAAAAUUAAUUAUAUGAUACCUAUGUUUGCAAUGAUUAAAAUCAGCAUAGUUGGAAUUGUGGAGCAUUUAUUAAAUUUGAAUUUUGCAGUUAAAUGGUAACCCAGAUACGCUGACAUUUUCGUGUGAUGUUUUCCGAAAUAAUUUAAUUUUUCCCUCAUCUGGGCAGUUUGAAUUAAAAGGAGAAUUCAAUUUUUCUAUUAACUGGUUUUCAAAAACUGACCAUCCAUUUAAACAAAUAUCGGACAAUGUUUAAAAACUCACGAAACAGAAUAAAAUUUUCCUUUCCUUAGAAAUAUAACAGUCGCAUUAAAAUUAUAUAUUAAUAAAACGACGCGCUGAACAACUUAAUAAAAUGGUCGAAUAUCAAAAUUUAUGCAUUCCUAUGCCCAAGGAAAGUUAGUAAUCUAAUAAAAUAAGGAUUUAAAACCGUAGUUACCUGUUAAUCGCUACCAUUACUCUGUGCAUUAGCUCACUGUGUAAUGAGAACUCUGACUCAUUUCAAGCUAUCACGAAGCUCAUCGAAAUUAGUUCAACGAAAAUAAUAUCGAAAGUUAUUUGGCUCGGAAAAAUGGUAGAGAGAGAGAGAGAGAGAGAGAGGGAGAGGGAGAGAAAAUAGGUGGGAAAACUUGAUGAAACGCAGUAUUAUUAGAAAAGUUGAGGCAUAGGGUCAACAUUUACUGCGGCCACAGCGCGCUCUCCGUUUCGACCAUCGAUUUCCUCUUUCGAAUUUAUUUCGGGCUACGGGUCGUCACGAGAGAAGUCAGGUCGAAAAAUUUUUCAUUCCAAUCGAACGCGGGAACUCCUUCCCCUGCAACAAAGUGCACCGUAGUUGUAUAAAAUUUAUUACAUUGACACUAUCCCUUUGCCUCGGACCAAUUGAUAAAUUAUUCGAAAAGCAAACAGACCGAGUCCUAAAAUUUCAAGACCGGAAAACGACGAUUGGUUAGGACAGUUAUCCUUUUAAGCAUUACGAACGUAAAGGAAUUGAAAUAAACCUGGGAAAUUACAAAAUUACUAAAACGUUUAGUCUCUUUAAGAUCAAAUUUCGUUUUAUUCUAUAAGAAGAACCGUCCUUUUAUUAAUUUAUUAAGAAUAGCAAUUAACAGUAGAUAUUUGUUCAGCUGAUAUUGUAAAGAGGACACUAUACAUUAAAAUUUGACACCAAAAAUAAACACUUAUCGUUUAUCCUUUAAUCAAUCUUGGCAUUCGUGUUGCUAGUUUUUUUCACCUUUUAAGUUUCCUACUUAAUAUACCUCAUUAUACCUACUAUUUUACCCUAAUAUACUUUGAUAUGUACACAAAUUUCAACAAUGAAUUUGUCAAGAUAUCAUCACGUUCAGCGAAUAAUUGUUUAUUCAUCCUUCCUGGAAAUUUUUUCUAUCCUGAAUCAGUAAUUUUCACUGUCAAAUCCUUUCACUUCUUUCUAAUCCAAGUUUCUCCUUCUAAUCCUUUCCUUGUCAAUCUAAACCAAUUAUCGCGUUCCCCAUACACAUCACCAGGUACCUCCUACUCAUAAACAGAACGAGUAGUAUUAGGUUGUCUGGAAAAUGUCUUUCUUUCGCAAACGUUUUUUACAACAAUACACCUUCAUAGAAACGUGAAACCACGUCUGUGAAAUGUCACGGUGUCUAUCUCAACAGAACAAAAUGGAUCGUACGUAAUACGACAAAAUAAUACAAAAGAAAAAACGUUGUGCGUCUAUUAUUUCCUCAUAAAACGAAAGAAACUUUUCGGACCUAAUAGUUUUCUUGAGAAUUGUGGAUCUUAGUCGCCGAAAUAAACGUGUGGAAACACUCACAUUACAUGUAGAAAUGAUAUUAAAAUAGUUUCAUAUUUAUCUAACAUGUGAUUAACACGAUAUUCGUAGAUACGUAGAUUGCACGCGUCUCGGCACUCCUUUUGUCUCAGCAUCUUCUUUUCCACCAUGCGUACGGAACAUUUGCAUUCUUCUGUUUUACCAGACGUUGCGCACGCACAUACUCAUAUAUGUGUGUCACUACUACGCGACUAAUCCAGUGUAGCACACAAAACUACACGUAUCUCAAUAAGUUUCAUGAACCUCCGCGUCGUUCGUCGCGACAGGUUUGUCCAGGGCCUCGAGUUUCCACCAGCACGUUAACGCGAGUUUCUACCAUGUGCAGAAACGACACUGUCCGUGAGCACGACGUUCUCGAACAAAGCUGAAUACGACAAUGCGAACGGUCCGCCAGAGCGCAAUACACUCACGUGCUCGUUUACGACCCAGGACAAUGCAGCCUAAAUGCUGCAGCGUCCAGCUGCUUUUAAUUUCUUUAGCCGACCGUUGGUCGUCUUAACACCACGCCAUAAUCGCGUCUACAACAGGAACCGGAAGCGACGACGGAUAGAACGGAUAUAUACAUAAAUAUCACUUUAUGCUGGAGCAAACAUCGUGCCAGACACUCGCAAUUUACGGCAACAAAAAUACCAGAGACAGGGAAUGGGUGACCAGGGUACGGCAGAGAAGAUAGAAAAGCAACGGGAAACGGAUGCGACGCGGAAACGAGGAAAAACGUCGAUGGAUGUUUACGUCGGUUUUAGCAGGCUGACGACGCGGGGAAGCGAUCCUCCUCGUUUCUUUUGUCGCGUGGGAUGUAGGCAGAACGCGACGUUUCGAACAGGAUGAGUAACGAAGCGAUAUUCCCGCGCGUGUACACGGUUACAAUAAAUGAAUGAUUUCAGUGAGAAGGACGGUUGUGCAUAAAUAACAAGCCGAUAAGCCGCUUUAUGGUGGGAACACCUGACGUUCUCGGCGACGACUCGUUCCAAAGUAUCCCUCUGGUUCUUUAAUGGAGACCGAAAUGAACACAGAGGCAAAGAAAAUGUAUAGGAUUAUUCUUUUUGGUAAUUAUUGGCAGUACAGAGAUAGAAAUAAAUAGAUAUUUAAAACAACGCAAAGAGGGUUCGUCGAGCUGCUUGGAAUCAUUAACCUUUUUAUAAUUUUUGAAUUUUUUAUUCUUAAGAAGGGAUGUUACUAUUUCGAACAACUAGCGAAAAGACUUUUGAUGUUUCACGAAUAUAUAGACAAGUAGUACCGCGCUGCACUUUCUGAAUAUUUAUAUUCAUGAAAGGAGAUAUUACUGCUAUUUUGCUCAACUCAUAAAAGGGCUUUUAACGUUUCAAGUAAUAUACUAAUAUAGUAAUAGUAUUAUAAUAUAUAAAACUUAAACGGAGAGUCACGCAUACUGAUAACAAUUCCUUCGUAUUUUCCUCAAACUUGAGAUAUUUUUGAAUAUUAAAAAAUACGAUUCAGUGAAAAUGAUAUGGAGAAGACCGCGGAGCUAAAUCUUUGAGUGCUCCAAAUCUUUGAAAAAGCAUGAUAUGUAGUCUGCCUCUAUUUUCCAUUCCAGCUGUUUAGCUUUGUAUAUUUCUAUCUCUAGUACAAAUCGUUAAACGAUUUGUGGAUAUAUAUAUUCGCGUUUUAUACUUAUAAGUAAGCAAUCUGCUAUUACGAAAUUCAGAAACAUAUAACAACGUUCUUUGGUCUCGCACAAUUUGGAAGUCUGCUCUUUGAAAUCGCACAGAAGUUCGCGCCUGCUCCGAGCGUUUGUUUUCUACCCACCGAUACGAAAACAGGUUACAAAGCAAAACAGUUUGGAAAAAAGGAAGAGGAAACGAUGACGAAGAAUUUAUGCAGAAUAUAAAGUUGCGACUGUGAUCGGGAUCCAGCUACACGCAUGUAAAGAAAUCAGAAUAAAACCGAGUUUUCCCAGACCGAGUAAAGUGCGAUGUUUGAACAGUUUUCAGAAGUGGCUUUGUGUUUUCUCGAAACGCACACGUUUGCACACAAUGUAACUACGAUUCGUGGAUUCGUACACGAAAACGAUUCCUGAGAAACGGCAACAUCCAUCUUGAAGGCAGACAAACAGUGGAAAAAGAUGUUUCUAAAAUAAUAUUUGCGACUCGUUCGAAGAGAGAGAGAGAGAGAGAGGGAGAAAGAGAAUGGGAGAGAGAGAGAAAGAUCACCAGAAUAGUGAUCACAGGUAGCAUCUCUUGGCUACUAAUUAGUCAGACUAUACCCCAAUUACAGAAGCUCGAGUAGAAGGCAAAUUAGAGAUGCUGGAUAGAAGCGAGAUGGACAGUUUGCCAAAUAUUUGCCGGCCAAUAAUGAUUAGCUUAAUUCCACUCGGUCUUCCAUGAGCUUGUGCUGUUACGGAGGUUAUAACAGGAUUUAGUUUCUUCGCCUGAAUUUUCUGCACCAUGCUGUUUGUGCUAACUACGAACUUAGAUGCAGUUGACUCAGCUAAUUACGAUCGGAAAUGUCUCGGUUCUUUCGUUACUGCUCGUUAAAAUAACGCUGCUUUUUAAUAAUCGUACAGCAACGAAGAUGUAAAAAAUUGUCUAGCAUGUACUUGGUGUCUAUUAAUCAACGUUGCAUCUAAUCGAAACGAAAUAACGAUUCUCAAGACUUGUAAUAAUUUCCUAAUAGUAUUUCACGCUUUGUUUUCAGUCUUUUAAUACUUAUGGUCGUGGGUGUUUCUGUUAAACGAAACGCGACCUCCGCACCCCGUUAAACGCCCCGAAUGAAAAACCGUACAAAUCGUUCAGUUUCAGCCGCUUGACACGUGUCUGACACAACGACGAGAACAAUCAGCUUAGUGCUGCAGUGCAUUCGGCACGAAAAAGCAGCACAUCGCAAGGGAGAUCAUUGAUCUAUCAGAGUGGCUGUCGAAAAUCUUGUAAAACAAUUACUUGGAAGCAACAUUGGCAGAGAAACUCUUCCCGUCUUUAACAUUCGAAACAGCGAAGAUAAUUCACAGGGAUUAUUUGGUUUCGAUCGAGCAACGAGGAAAAAUCGGUGAUACUUUCCCGUAGAAAACGAAAACGAUAAGAAAGGAUGACUUCGAGCGACAGAGAGGAAAAAGGAAAAUCGUAAGAAGAGGACAGCAGAGGGCUAACGGAAAGGAUUCUUUCAAUUAGUUUGUCGACUCUUGAGAUUCCAGUUAAUCGACUCUCUUCUCGGACGUCUGCUACUCUAAUGAUCGUUCACAUCGAGAGAGACGUUGGAUGGUUUCUCCAUUAUGCAAGAAGUUGAACGCAUCCAUAUUGAUAAGCCAAGUUCUCGGAUUUUCCGUAAUAUGUACUUCAAAAACGCUUCGAUAAAUCUUUACGGUGCGUUCAGACCAAGUCUUGCUCCGCCUUAGCAAAAAUUCGGCGAUAGAAUGCACGUCUGCAGUUUCGAUUUGCUAAAUUUUACCAACGUCGGGAAAAAACGAGUAUUCGCUUGGUCGUACCAUUGGAUUAAAUCUGUAGAUUUCAUGAAACCAGGAGGAUUGUGCAAUCUUUCCCUCCUCUCUUACUGUGUUAAUACUAGUUUGUUAUAUUAUUAAUAUUAUGCUAGUUCGUUAUAUUAUUAUAUUAAUACUAGUUUAUUGCUACAAACAACUGUUAAUUACGCUACUACUCCGUGACAGAUUGUUAUAGCGAUCAAAACUCGAACGUAAAAAAGA